rnacentral:misc_RNA from 1 species
AACAUACACAUUAUUCUGGAACAUUAUUUGAGCAUAAAGAACUUAAUUUUUGGCUCCUCCAACUAUAUCAAUAUAAUUACCAUACAUUGUGAUAAGAGUGUUGAGCAAGAAUCAAGCAGUUCAAUCUCAUAGUACAAGAAAAUAAACUAUGAUAUUUUUUAUAAUCUUUCUUUUAUAGCCGACCCCAACUAGUUUGGGAUUAAGGCUAAGUUGUUAUUUCUUUUAUACAUGGGCAAGGUUGAUUUACAAUAAUCCAACAUAUGAUUCUGUUACUGUCAUUUUAUAGCACUGAGAUGAAUCAGGAUGUUUUGGCAGAUGCAAAUGCUAUAAUGGAUCCUCCUCCCAUCUCCAGUUCCCAGUUGUGAUGCCCUGAAAAGAAAAUAUAUAACAACACCUACACUUUGUCCAGACUUGAACUAUCUCCAUGGCUAAGCUAAACAUUCUGUACAGCAUUCAUCUGUAUUGCACGUUUUAGAAGAGUUCUGUAUUCUUGACUUCUCGACCAUUCAUCAAUUUCACGAGCACGUAGAACAGGCAGAGGGUGUGAAAGUUGCCUCGUUUGAGCAUUUCUUAUGUACCACCCUACUGGACUUGAAGAAGCUCUGUCAUAAGAGCGAGCUUGUUCCAAGAAUGCAUCCACAUUUAGUUGAUCAGCAAUUGAUGGGCUUCCCCCAGCUAAUUUCAUCAAAACAGAGAUGACCACCUUGGGGUCUUGGGCAACAAGAAGGGCUGCACGAUCACAAGUCAGCUCUGCUGCUCGGAGCCAACGAAAUAACUGUUCUUCCAAGCUCUGAGCUAUCAACCUGCCAAGUCCAGGUACAGUAUAGGCUCCAAGAGUAAGAAUAUUGGCAAAUGUGAGCCAUACGCCAUGAUCGCAUUUCAAAUGACCCAGCUCAUGGGCCAGAACAGCCUGCAACUCCUUUCGUGUCAAAAGCUCCACUAGACUGGUAUGGACAACAACAAAGGGCUUUUUCCCACUAAUUGCUAAAGUAUAUGCAUUUGGUACAGGACUUUGGCGUACAUAAAGAUCAGGAGCCUCAAGGUUCAGUAUUUCUGCAGCCUCAGUCAUCAACUGAUGAAGUUCACUAAGCUGAUUUUUAGAGACAAGGACUGACGUCCCAAUAUUCUCAAGAAGCAUGAUUUGCUCUGUCAUAGAUCCCAAAAGAGCCUUCCCUAGUUCAUUUAAUCCUGGAAUUGCCCUCAAGAGCAGCGUGUUCUGUUUGUCAAGCGGAUGCCUAAAAUCAUCAGCAUCAAGAUCACGAAACACAACAGCAGCUGCUCUACAAACAGAAACCCUAAAUCCUCGAUUCUUCUUGAUGGAGCUAAAUCCAACAGAAGCCGAAGCAGACCUCAAAUUAUCAGAAAUUCUAUAGCUGAAACUGAGAGGAGAUAACUUCCCAUGAGGCAAGCAGAGAGAGAAAAGAGGCACCGAAGCCAUUGAAGAAGAGAUACAAUUGCAGAAGCAGCAAGUCAGCUCCGAUUAUCGCUUGCUUAAAAGAUUAAAUCAAAUUAUUUGCGUUUGGCUGCUGAGCUUUCUCUUCUGUUCUUA